AUUGAACGCUGGCGGAAUGCUUUACACAUGCAAGUCGAACGGCAGCACGGACUUCGGUCUGGUGGCGAGUGGCGAACGGGUGAGUAAUAUAUCGGAACGUGCCCAGUCGUGGGGGAUAACGUAGUGAAAAUUACGCUAAUACCGCAUACGAUCUAAGGAUGAAAGCGGGGGAUCGCAAGACCUCGCGCGAUUGGAGCGGCCGAUGUCAGAUUAGCUAGUUGGUGGGGUAAAGGCCCACCAAGGCGACGAUCUGUAGCUGGUCUGAGAGGACGACCAGCCACACUGGGACUGAGACACGGCCCAGACUCCUACGGGAGGCAGCAGGUGGGGAAUAUUGCACAAUGGACGAAAGUCUGAUGCAGCAACGCCGCGUGGAGGAUGACACAUUUCGGUGCGUAAACUCCUUUUAUAUGAGAAGAUAAUGACGGUAUUAUAUGAAUAAGCACCGGCUAACUCCGUG
rnacentral:rRNA from 1 species